GCCGAAGGUGGGGCUAAUGACUGGGGUGAAGUCGUAACAAGGUAGCCGUACCGGAAGGUGCGGCUGGAUCACCUCCUAACAGGGAGACAACAAAAUGUUUAUAUUAUUAUUUUGUCACCUUAGGUCGAUCGGUAUCUCACGUUCUUAAUUUGUUAAGAAUUUCAUUUCCUAAGUUUUUCUAGGUCACACCCAUUAUUUUUCCUGGGCCAUUAGCUCAGGUGGUUAGAGCGCACCCCUGAUAAGGGUGAGGUCCCUGGUUCAAGUCCAGGAUGGCCCAUAUCUCUAUGUUGGGGGUAUAGCUCAGUUGGUAGAGCGCCUGCUUUGCAAGCAGGAUGUCAGCGGUUCGAGUCCGCUUACCUCCACUGAUUACCACCUCUUCCAUAAUCCGUAGAAAGGAAAUGUUUUGAGUUGUGAUCAUUAUUCUGAACGAAUCUAGCUUCCUAAUGAAAUCAUUAAGAUGCUGGACUCAUUGAAUUAAUUUCAUUGUUUUCAGAGAACCUUGACAACUGCAUAGAUUAUUUUUAAAGACAAUAAGCAUCUUUAAUGAUGCAGAUUUAUUAUUUGUGCGAAUGCAUUAAUAACAAUUCUAUUAAGCUGAUGCUUCAAUUUUUGAAGUUAUUGGUCAAGCUACAAAGGGCUCACGGAGGAUACCUAGGCACACAGAGGCGAU
rnacentral:misc_RNA from 1 species